rnacentral:rRNA from 1 species
UUAGCAAUAUAAGUGAUGGCGACCGGCGCACGGGUGAGUAACACGUAUCCAACCUGCCGAUAACUCGGGGAUAGCCUUUCGAAAGAAAGAUUAAUAUCCGAUAGUAUAUUAAAACCGCAUGGUUUUACUAUUAAAGAAUUUCGGUUAUCGGUGGGGAUGCGUUCCAUUAGUUUGUUGGCGGGGUAACGGCCCACCAAGACUACGAUGGAUAGGGGUUCUGAGAGGAAGGUCCCCCACAUUGGAACUGAGACACGGUCCAA